rnacentral:rRNA from 1 species
UACGGAGGGUGCAAGCGUUAUCCGGAUUCACUGGGUUUAAAGGGUGCGUAGGUGGGCUUGUAAGUCAGUGGUGAAAUCUCCGGGCUUAACUCGGAAACUGCCAUUGAUACUAUAAGUCUUGAAUACCAUGGAGGUGAGCGGAAUAUGUCAUGUAGCGGUGAAAUGCUUAGAUAUGACAUAGAACACCAAUUGCGAAGGCAGCUCGCUACGCGGUUAUUGACACUGAGGAGCGAAAGCGUGGGGAGCGAACAGG